rnacentral:rRNA from 1 species
GACGAACGCUGGCGGCGUGCCUAAUACAUGCAAGUCGAACGCAGUGGGGACGGGUGAGUAACACGUGGGUAACCUCCCAUCAGAGGGGAUAACACUUGGAAACAGGUGCUAAACCGAUACUGAUGGAUGGAACCGCGGUGCAUUAGCUAGUUGGUGAGGUAACGGCUAACCAAGGCCACGAUGCAUAGCCGACCUGAGAGGGCGAAGGGCCACACGGGGACUGAGACACGGCCCCGACUCCCACGGGAGGCAGCAGUAGGGAAUCUUUGGCAAGGGGCGAAAGUCUUACCGAGCCACGCCGCGUGAGUUAAGAAGGUUUUCGGAUCGUAAAUCUCUGUUGUUAGAGAAGCGUUAUCUAACCAGAAAGCCACGGCUAACUACGUGCCAGCAGCCGCGGUAAUAC